rnacentral:tRNA from 1 species
UGGCGUGUAGCUCAAUUCGGUAGAGCAGCGGUCCUACAAACCGCGGGUUGUCGGUUCGAGUCCGACCGGGCCAA